CGGCGACUCAGCGGCAGGGCCUGUCAGGGGGACGGAGCGCGUGUGGGAUUCCUCUGAGGUUUGGGAGAAAAGACACUCGCUCUGUUUGCUGACGUCUCUAAGAGAGCCCUCCUCUUCCAGCUCCACAGAGACGGUGUGGACCCGGAAGCCUGGACCACUCAGAGCCCCGAGAGGCUGAGUCACACCCACAUGUGUGAGAAACACCGACAGUGUCACAGCAUCGAAGGAUGCUGGAGCAGAAUCGAAAACAGCUGGAUUCCAGGCAGCUUGUCCAAACCUUCUCCUGAAGGAGGAACCUGUUCUCCAAAGUUCUCAAAGAUGAUCCUUCCCACCCUCCCUUCCACAAAUAUUUGGAGCACCCACGCUUUGUCAGGCACUGCGCUGAUCCUGGGGCAGUAAUGGAGACAGAUAUGGGCCUCGUCCUCACCGAGCUGACAGUCUAGCACUUGAAAGUCUCUGCAAUUUCUGUUGAAUACCUCCAGUAACAGGAUGCUCGCCACCUUACAGGACGGCCUCUUUUUUUUUUUUUUUUUCCCCCCGGUCAGUUUUUCCUUAUUUAAACUGUAAUGCUUGUUCUGACCUCUGGGGCUAUACAAAACAAGUCUAACCCCAUUUCCUAUGUCAGUGCCCUUAGAACGUGGAAAAAUAAACAUGGUACGCUCAGAAAACA